CCUACGGGUGGCAGCAGUGAGGAAUAUUGGUCAAUGGGCGCGAGCCUGAACCAGCCAAGUCGCGUGAGGGAAGACGGUCCUACGGGUUGUAAACUUCUUUUGUCGGGGAGCAAAAGACGCCACGCGUGGCGUUCCGAGAGUACCCGAAGAAAAAGCAUCGGCUAACUCCGUGCCAGCCGCCGCGGUAAUACGGAGGAUGCGAGGGUUAUCCGGAUUUUUUGGGGUUAAAGGGUGCGCAGGCGGAAGAUCAAGUCAGCGGUAAAAUUGAGGGGCUCAACCCCGUCGAGCCGUUGAUACUGGUGUUCUUGAGUGAGUGAGAAGUAUGCGGAAUGCGUGGUGUAGCGGUGAAAUGCAUAGAUAUCACGCAGAACUCCGAUUGCGAAGGCAGCAUACCGGCGCUCAACUGACGCUCAUGCACGAAAGUGUGGGUAUCGAACAGGAUUAGAUACCCGGGUAGUC
rnacentral:rRNA from 1 species